CUAAGGAGGGAGUUAGCGUUGUUCGGAAUUACUGGGCGUAAAGCGCACGUAGGCGGAUUGGAAAGUUGGGGGUGAAAUCCCAGGGCUCAACCCUGGAACUGCCUCCAAAACUAACAGUCUAGAGUUCGAGAGAGGUGAGUGGAAUUCCAAGUGUAGAGGUGAAAUUCGUAGAUAUUUGGAGGAACACCAGUGGCGAAGGCGGCUCACUGGCUCGAUACUGACGCUGAGGUGCGAAAGCGUGGGGAGCAAACAGGAUUAGAAACCCUAGUAGUCC
rnacentral:rRNA from 1 species